GUAAAACUGGUAUACUAGCCGUGCUCACGGUCAUGAGCAGCUCGGACACUCACAUGAUUAAAUUAUGGAACUUAAACUCAAUUUGUCAUAUGCAUUGCAUCGCAGGUGAGAUUGUUACUUUUGUUCUACUACUUAAUUGGGUUGGUAUUUACUUAUACUUAGUAAUUGCUAAUAAAAUUUUGACCAACUUUAAAAGAAAUGCUCAGCUCUAACCAUCCUCUUUGGUAAGCCUUACACUUCACGUGAGCUCCCACCUUUGGCGAGUUCAUGCACAUUAUUCCCCACAACUUGUUGAGCGAUGAACGUAUGUGAGCUCACUCUUGCUGUUUCACACCCCCCCACAGGUCAAGAACAGGUACCACAGGAUGUGGCGCAUGGAGGAUGCUGUGACGAGUUCGUGAGAGGUCUAGGUCGUUGUCUCCCAGUCAACUUUGGGUUGCUGGACCGUUGUCUCCUUAUAAUGUAAUUAUUUGUUUAUUUUGUACAGAACUCCUGUUAUGUAGUAAAGAUGUGACAUUCGAUCCUGUGCCAUGAUUCAUCAUAUGUGUGAGACUUGGUCCCAGCACACCUGGUGAUUAUGUUCGCGCCCGGGUCUUGGUGCCCCGAAACCCGGGUGUGACAGAAGUGGUAUCAGAGGAAUGUUGACUGUAGGACAAAACCUAGAUAGAACUCGACAACCAUUCUCUACUUACCUUUGCCACUCUGAUUCUUUCUAAACUUUCCUUAAAUCUUUUCUCAUCUAUUUCCGCUUUACUCUGAUUAUUCUUACCUGUUCCUUCUAAAGACCAAUGUGGAUUUCACACAUUGAAAUCCUGUGCCUAAAGUGACCUUUAGGAAUAGGAGACCUACUCAUAGGAAUAAAAACAAAACUAUUUUAUCUAUGCACUUGAAUGUUUGUUUUUAUGAUAUUUGUCUGAUUUGGAUUUUUGAUUGAAUGUGAUGAGUUGUGGAGUAAUGUCCACAAUUCCAUCUGCAUAUACAUAAAGGCAUAAGAAAUCAUAAUAUAACCAGAUCAACUAAGAAUAUCCUCCAUUAAAAUAUAUCUAGCUUCAUAAGAUCCUUCUUAUCUUAAAAGAUAUUCUCUUAACUUAAUAGAUUUAUCUCAUCUUAAAAGAAUCUAUCUUAUCUUAUCUUAUCCUAACCACUUUGCUUAUCUCACCUCGGAGUAACAAUCAUGAUCCAAUCCAAAUUAAUUAGAUCUUAUCUAGUUCAAGCUAGUCACACCAAUCUAACCUAGAUCCGAUCUAAUCUAAAGUGACUUAUCAAACAUGUUAGAUAAUACUGAUGAAAUAGAUUAGACUCUACUCUAAUAGAACAUGUCUUAACUUAGUUCACCCUGCACUAAAUUAAGAAUGACAGAUCGACUUGGCCAUAUGCAACUACCUUAACCAUCCAAUAGUUGCAUAACCCCACAAUUUUAACCUAGCAAGAGAUUCUAACCUACCUACACCAUACAAUCCAUCCUACUCACAUAUGUCCUAGCCAUAUGUCCUUAACUCGGAAGACAACUCCCAGAAAUAAAGGCCAAAGAAGACAAACCAUGUCAAAGAAGGAUAAGCAUCAACUCAAGACUUCAAAGAUCAAGUUGAAUCGCCAGCGGAAUCAAGAUCCAUAGUUUAGGAUGAAGUCUUUCCUUAUUAUCCCCUUGCCACAACCUCUACUUGCCAUAACCGUACCUGACCUAAUGAAUAUCUAAACAUACAAUAUUCAUAUCAUCUACUAACUGUUAAAAAAAACUUGAACAAAACUUUGAUUCCCAAAACCAAAUGAGAAACUAAAAUUCUAGACCAAACCUAUUAUAUUCCUUUUCUUACAAAUCUCGAGGACGAGAUUAUUUUUAAGGGGGGUAGGAUUUGUAAUACCCAAAAUUAUAAAUCAAAUAAAAGGAGGUAGUCAUUCCUAAAUAAUAUUCCUCCCUUAUGAUAUCAUAUGUGAACGACCUUAUUUAAGUGAGUACUUAAAGUAAUGCCAUCUAAAAAAAUAUAAUUUGUGCAUCAUGCCGAGGUUUAUUUGUUUGUGCAUUCACUCAUGAAGACAGUGAU
rnacentral:lncRNA from 7 species